GAGUAAAAUUUUCAUCUUUUUAUAUUAUUAAAAAUUAGUAUGGUUAAUGAAAUAAUCAGAUAGUACACGUGACAUGUCACAUGUACCUCAUGCUAAUGUACAGAGACCAAUUUUUAACAGUAGAAACAAAUGAAAUUUUUAAUA
rfam:Gossypium raimondii Chr11_contig_30, whole genome shotgun sequence.